GGAGAGGUGGCCGAGUGGUCCAAGGCGCUGCAUACUCGCUGAACAAUUUAUCCAUGCAGUCUGUUUCUCAAGACAGUCGUGGGUUCGAAUCCCUCCCUCUCCC